rnacentral:rRNA from 1 species
UACGAAGGGUGCAAACGUUGCUCGGAAUUAUUGGGCGUAAAGCGCACGUAGGCGGCAUUGCAAGUCGGAUGUGAAAUCCCUCGGCUCAACUGAGGAACUGCACAGAAAACUGCUUGGCUUGAGUUCGGGAGAGGGAAGCGGAAUUCCGGGUGUAGCGGUGAAAUGCGUAGAUAUCCGGAGGAACACCGGUGGCGAAGGCGGCUUCCUGGACCGACACUGACGCUGAGGCGCGAAAGCUAGGGGAGCAAACGGG